GUCGUGAGAUGUUGGGUUAAGUCCCGCAACGAGCGCAACCCCCGUUCCAUGUUGCCAGCAUUAAGUUGGGGACUCAUGGGAGACUGCCGGUGACAAACCGGAGGAAGGUGGGGAUGACGUCAAGUCAUCAUGCCCCUUAUGUCCAGGGCUACACACGUGCUACAUUGGCCGAUACAGAGGGUUGCGAUGCCGUGAGGUGGAGCGAAUCCCAAAAAGUCGGUCUCGGUUCGGAUUGGAGGCUGAAACUCGCCUCCAUGAAGGUGGAGUUGCUAGUAAUCGCGGAUCAGCAACGCCGCGGUGAAUACGUUCCCGGGCCUUGUACACACCGCCCGUCACACCACGAAAGCGGGCAACACCCGAAGCCGGUCGCCUAACCCUUACGGGAAGGAGCCGUCGAAGGUGGGGCUCGUGAUUGGGGUGAAGUCGUAACAAGGUAGCCGUAGCGGAAGCUGCGGCUGGAUCACCUCCUUUCUAGGGAGACCUAGAACGUCGACCGGGCUUGACCCACGACGCCUCGUGCGUCGCGGCGGCGCUGCUCAGUUCUCAGAGGCAGCCGGCGGGAUACCCCCGUGCGGUCGCCUCCGUGGACCUUGAAAACUGCACUAGGUAGAGCUGCCCCCGCAAGGGGGACGCUCUGGAGCGCUCCAUUGAUGAGCCGGAGCGCUCCUAAAGGUAAGAAGCCGAGCUCGGGCGCUUUGUUAUGUACGCGCUCGAGCAGCUCACCGUCAAGAUAGUAAGGGCACACGGUGGAUGCCUUGGCACCAGGAGACGAAGAAGGACGUGGACGGCUGCGAUAAGCCACGGUUAGGCGCUGAACAGCCAUUGACCCGUGGAUUU
rnacentral:sRNA from 1 species